rnacentral:rRNA from 1 species
UGGGGAAUCUUGGACAAUGGGGGGCAACCCUGAUCCAGCCAUGCCGCGUGAGUGAUGAAGGCCUUAGGGUCGUAAAGCUCUUUCGCCUGUGAAGAUAAUGACGGUAGCAGGUAAAGAAACCCCGGCUAACUCCGUGCCAGCAGCCGCGGUAAUACGGAGGGUGCGAGCGUUAAUCGGAAUUACUGGGCGUAAAGCGCACGUAGGCGGACCAGAAAGUUGGGGGUGAAAUCCCGGGGGCUCAACCCCCGGAACUGCCUCCAAAACUAUUGGUCUAGAGUUCGAGAGAGGUGAGUGGAAUUCCAAGUGUAGAGGUGAAAUUCGUAGAUAUUUGGAGGAACACCAGUGGCGAAGGCGGCUCACUGGCUCGAUACUGACGCUGAGGUGCGAAAAGUGUGGGGAGCAAAACAGGAUUAGAUACCCUGGUAGUCCACACCGUAAAACGAUGAAUGCCAGUCGUCGGGGUAGCAUGCUAUUCGGUGACACACCUAACGGAUUAAGCAUUCCGCCU